rnacentral:ncRNA from 1 species
CCAAGCAUCCAUUUAUCUUCUUUUCAGUUCUUUCUUAACCUGCCCCAAGGGAACUUGGAGCCACACGCCGCCUUGCAGUGCCAGAUUUUUUUCUGGACAUGAAAUACAGCGGCAACAGCUGGUAAGCCAAUCUCCAUUUGGCUGAACGUUUGAAGCCGCAGUGGAAGUGCAGCAGCAAGGGGGCUACGGUGC